UUAAGUCCCGCAACGAGCGCAACCCUCGUCGUUAGUUGUAUUUCUCUAGCGAGACCGCUGCGUACAACGCAGAGGAAGGUGGGGACGAUGUCAAGUCAGCGUGGCCCUUACGCCCAGGGCGACACACACGCUACAAUGGCCGGUACAACGGGCAGCCACAUCGCGAGAUGGAGCGAAUCCCUCAAAACCGGUCCCAGUUCGGAUAGCAGGCUGAAACUCGCCUGCUUGAAGCCGGAGUUGCUAGUAACCGCAGGUCAGCCAUACUGCGGUGAAUACGUUCUCGGGCCUUGUACACACCGCCCGUCACGUCAUGGGAGUGAGUAACACUUGAAGUCGGUGCGCGAACCUUCGGGACGCAGCCGCCUAAGGUGGGACUCGCGACUGGGACGAAGUCGUAACAAGGUAGCCGUAGCGGAAGCUGCGGCUGGAUCACCUCCUUUCUAGGGAG
rnacentral:rRNA from 1 species